rnacentral:lncRNA from 1 species
AGAGAGUAGGAUAGUGCUCUGAAGGAGAGAAAUGGGAUCUGGCUUGGACACUCCACCCCAAUAAGACUGUAGGCCAGGCUUCAAGCAAAGCCAUUUAAAUCAUGGGGGUCCCUGAGGUGUGGGGGCCCAAAGCAGGAGUCUGACCCAUUGUUAAAGAGCAAUACUGUCUCAUCAGCUGGUUAGUAGAUUGGGAUGCUAUGGAAGAGUAUUUCAGAACCACUUUUCAUAGCUUUAUGAAGACAUCUGGCCGACUGCAUUGUAUGUUAAAUAAGUAGGAACUUGGAUGCAUUAAAAAUUAAUGGAAAAUUGUAUGAAUAAUGAAUCUGUGGUGGUGUAUAAAAUGAUCAUACAUUACCUCCAGGUUAGACAAUGCCUCCCUGAAAUGGUACAGGCUAUGUGACCUUACAUUCUUUUCACUGGUGGCCUGAGGAGGACAAGAACAGAAGAGAAAGUAAAUAGGAGUAAAUGUCCCAUAUGUUGACAAAUCAGAAAAUGAAACAAUCAGGCUUUGGCUAGGACCUUUCUUCUCCUGUGAAAAUGAACUCCAACCCACUGGUGAGCAAACA